AAGAGUUUGAUCAUGGCUCAGAUUGAACGCUGGCGGCAGGCCUAACACAUGCAAGUCGAACGGUAACAGAAAGCAGCUUGCUGCUUUGCUGACGAGUGGCGGACGGGGGAGUAAUGUCUGGGAAACUGCCUGAUGGAGGGGGAUAACUACUGGAAACGGUAGCUAAUACCGCAUAACGUCGCAAGACCAAAGAGGGGGACCUUCGGGCCUCUUGCCAUCGGAUGUGCCCAGAUGGGAUUAGCUAGUAGGUGGGGUAACGGCUCACCUAGGCGACGAUCCCUAGCUGGUCUGAGAGGAUGACCAGCCACACUGGAACUGAGACACGGUCCAGACUCCUACGGGAGGCAGCAGUGGGGAAUAUUGCACAAUGGGCGCAAGCCUGAUGCAGCCAUGCCGCGUGUAUGAAGAAGGCCUUCGGGUUGUAAAGUACUUUCAGCGGGGAGGAAGGGAGUAAAGUUAAUACCUUUGCUCAUUGACGUUACCC
rnacentral:rRNA from 1 species